AGCAGCUAAUGGAAGAAGUUCAGGAGGGUCAGAUGGCACUGGCGUCCACCCAGGCCACAAAAGAGACCAGCAGGGAGACUGGAAUGCCAUCAGACAGAGCUUCAGCGAGAUGGCAGCAGGCAGGGGGAGCAGAGUGUCCAUCGCCUUCAGCUCCCCGGCAAGUGGCGUGGCGACAGCUAUCUCCGGGGGUAAUGGUUUGCGACAGGAUUGCACUCCCUCCAGAUCCUUUACCCGCCCACGACCCCAGGGCCAGCCAGUGGUCGAGGGCCGUACACAGGGCUCCCAGGGCAAACCAGAGCGGCCGCGCGACGACAUCCGAGCCCAGAUAGCAAAGAUUGAGCAGUUUUUGAGCUCAGAAGGGGUAAGCCUUCCCAAGAAGUCCAAAAUGGAGACAAGAGAAGAUGUUGAGCUAUGAGAGAGAAAAACUUAAACAGCUCUGUUGCUUUCAAAUACAUAUGUUCUAGAACAGUCAAAGAUAGGAACAUGGCUAGUUUUGUUUUGAAAAGUCAGUAACUUUUAGAAAAGAGAGAGACAAAUUGACUAUUUAGGAUGAUAUUGUUAUGAUAUUGUUUAAUGUUAUUUAUUUAUGAUUUCAUUUUUAAUAAUAUUUAUU
ensembl:lncRNA